GCUGAUUGAGGGGGACUCUCUAGUCAUCUCAGCCGCAUUGCCAAUGCACCUGCCCUCUGACUCUGCAAAGCCCAGCCUCCCAGGAUGGGAAAAACUCCCCUGGGGCCCAGAAGUCAAGGGUCUGCUCAGGCAUUCCUCUCCCUUCUGUGGGUCUCCACCUUUAGCCUUUCUUUGCCUAGAUGGUAUCAGCCAAACAGAAACCCAUUAGCCAAAAGCUGUAUUUAAGCAAGUGUUCUGUUUGGGCAUCAAAGGAAACAUAACAGUGGAAAUGAUAAUAAACAACAAUGAUCAUCAUAAUUUCAAAGAGACAACAUCAGUGCCUAUGGUUCCAAGGAGACCCUGGAGUGCCAGUCGCUUUAUCUGCAAACACAAACUGCAAGUCACCUGCCUCUUCAGGUCAGGGAGCUGGGCUCAGACUGGAACAGCCCUGAGACGCCUCCAAAUCCCGUCCUCUGCUGCCAGAUGGGACCAUCACUGGCCUGAACUCAUCUCUCUUGGUCAGGCCACCAAGCUCAACCUGCCUGAAAGAACCCCCAGAGAAGCCAGGGGCUCAGAGAUGGGGACCGGGGAGGUGGUCCAGCCUCUCUAUCCUCAUCCCCUGUUUGGUCCCUUGUCCAAACCAAAAAGAGGGCCAAGAGCCAUCCUGAGGACAUCUGGUCUCCCAGAAGAGCACACUGGCUGGUUUCAUUGAACUCAGAUGGGAGACCUAUCCGUCUUUGAAAUCAUGCUCCAAUUUCGUGGAGCUGCAGCAGUACGGGUGUGGGAGAUCAGGAGAGAACCUCUCACAGCCUGCCUCUUUCAUCCUCUUCCCCUCUCCUCCAACCCAGCCUCCUAGCCCACAGCCUCUUGGGGCUGGGAGGGACACACAGAAACACCUGGAGCUAAUUGACCCCUCACGUGGGGAAAGUCAAAGUCUGCGAGGUCCAUCUGAGAACAGAGAAAACAGCCAUCCUCAGGCAGGCCACAGAGACCUGAAAGAAAACACCUUCUCCUCCGGACCCCACCCUUUCCAUUUUGUGCCUGUGCCUGAUUUGCCUUCAUCAGUUAACAUCACUAGUGUUCAAGACUUGAGUAAAUGCCUGCCUGAGUGACUUUGGAUGGCACAGACAAGCAGCACAGUUGUUUCUGGAGAGCAUAAUGGGUGUAUCCUUCCUUUCAUAAAUCAGA
rnacentral:lncRNA from 1 species